GGAAUAUAAAGAUUUAAAUUUAAGCUUCUAACUUUUUUUAAGCGGUUAAAUUCCGUUAAUAUUCCU
rnacentral:tRNA from 1 species